rnacentral:misc_RNA from 1 species
CCUGGUCUAACAACCUUCUUCACUUCCUACAAUUUGUAUUGUACAUGUAUAUCAUGUUGGAAGGCAUAGAGAGUGAAAUCCCUAAUAAAUAAUGUUUGAGACUUUUAAAAUCAAUAAUGUUAUGUUUGGAUUGAGGGAUUUGAUCCUAUGAAUUUUGAUUUGAAUUAAAUAUUAUUUAAAUAUUGUAAAUAAAAUUAUUUGAAUUUGGUCUAAAGCCCAUGUAUUCACACAAAUUUAAACACAAAUUUAAAAGCUAAAGAUUUGAAAUAACAACUUUUACCUUAUUAUUUUAAAUCCAUUUUACUGCAAUCAAAUGUAUCAACUUUACAUAUGUCACAACUUUCCAUAAAAAUUCUUUUUAUUAAUCCAAAUUUCAAAUUUAAAUCCUAGAAUCCAAAGCUAAAUGUAUUAAUAACAAUCAUAAUACUAUGAUUGUUAUUAUAUAAUGUGUCUACACAUUUUUAAUGAAAAUAUAAUUUAUUAUCAAUGGGUGUGAUUUGCUAAUUAUAAACUUAAUUUGUAAUAAUGCCUACAGUUCAUAAACUGCAAAUUAAUUUAAUCAAAGGCUCGGCCAAUUAUUAGAUAUACUGAAAGCACUAAAAAAUAGUGCUCCAUCUCUCACAAAAAGGUGGGCUCUCCUUAUAAUAUGGAAAGUGAGUCCUACAUGAUUGUGAGAGAUGGUGCAUAUACACCAGGUGCACCUAAUAAUUUCUCCAAAGGCUCUUGUUAAUGAAGCCUCUCCUUAUAUGUGUGUGUGUGCGUGCGCGCGUUUCUAUCAUGGAAUUAAGGCACAAACAUGUGAGUUUCAUCUAUUUUAUAUAUAGGUUUUAUCAUAUAUGUUGUGCCUUAGUCUAUAAUGGAUCAGCUCUAUGCAUUUUCUCCGAGAAGUAAGAAUUAAUAACAAAUUACCUCAAACCACAGUAGCUCUUGUUGCAGUUGGAGAGCUGCUCCUGGUACAACAUUU